ACGCUCGACACCUACGGAGGCAGCAGUGGGGAAUAUUGCACAAUGGGGGAAACCCUGAUGCAGCGACGCCGCGUGAGCGAAGAAGUAUUUCGGUAUGUAAAGCUCUAUCAGCAGGGAAGAUCAUGACGGUACCUGACUAAGAAGCUCCGGCUAAAUACGUGCACAGCCGCGGUAAUCUGAGCGGGCUGGCAAGGC
rnacentral:rRNA from 1 species